UUCCGUCAUUGCUGUGUCAAGCUCUUCUUACGAUUACUUGAUACAAUAUGAUUAACUAUUAUCAACAUAGUGCACAGCAGUUUCCAUACUGUUGAAAGUCCAAUCUCCUGGAGUUCCAGAGUGUACCAGUAGGGGGCAUCAGUGACAAAGUAAGAUUCAUUGAUCAGUUCCAUGUUGUGUUAAUAAUGUUCCCCUCUGUGUCUGUGGAGGUUUUUGUACAGCGAGUCAGUCAGACUCUAUCACUGUGGUUGACUUUUGGUGGCGGGACCAAACUGAGUGUUGGUAGUGAUGUUCGUCCCACCAUGACGGUCCUGCCCCCCUCCAGUGUGGAGCUGCAGCAGGAGAAGGCCACUCUCAUGUGCCUGGCAAACAAGGGCUUCCCCUCAGACUGGAAGCUGAGCUGGAAGGUGGAUGGGAGCAGUAGCAGCACCUGGGAGGUGACAGGGAGCCCUGGGGUCCUGGAGAAGGACGGCCACUACAGCUGGAGCAGCACCCUGACCCUCCCUGUCGACCAGUGGAGGAAGGUGGGCUCUGUGACCUGUGAGGCCACCCAGGGCACCCAGACUCCACUCUCGGAGACACUGAGGAGAGACCAGUGUUCUGAUUAAUGAGCUCCUCCUCUGACUCCACUGUUUUUACUCUGUUCUGCACUCAGCGCCUCUCCGUCUUACUGAUCCAGCACUACUAGCACCACAGGAGGUUGGUGGAACCUUAAAUAGGGAGGAUGGGCUCAUAGUUUUGGCUGAAACGGAAUACAUGGAAUGCUAUUGAACUCAUCAAACACAUGGUUUCCAUGUGAUCCAUACAUUUCCAUUCACUCCAUUCUAGACAUUAUUAUGAGCCGUCCUCCCCUCAGCAGCCUCCUGUGACUAGCACACUUGUGUGGAAAUUCAUAUCUCUCUGAUUCUGAUGUCAUAGUUCUGCUUGCUUUCAUAUCACAUGUGUGAUGAGCUUUAUUGCUGUAAUGCUGUUGGUUCUGACAUGUUGUGAAAAUAAAGACAUUCAAUCUUUAAAAUUA